GGUGAGGUGUCCGAGUGGCUGAAGGAGCACGCCUGGAAAGUGUGUAUACGUUUACGCGUAUCGAGGGUUCGAAUCCCUCUUUCACCGCCA
rnacentral:tRNA from 1 species